rnacentral:misc_RNA from 1 species
AAGUCGUAACAAGGUUUCCGUAGGUGAACCUGCGGAAGGAUCAUUAACGAAUAACUAUGGUGUUGGUUGUAGCUGGCUCCUCGGAGCAUUGUGCACGCCCGCCAUUUUUAUCUUUCCACCUGUGCACCGACUGUAGGUCUGGAUACCUCUCGCCUCCCUUCUCUUAGGGUUAAAGCGGAUGCGGGGAUUGCUCGCAAGGGCUCUCCUCGAACUUCCAGGCUCUACGUCUUUUUACACACCCCAAUAGUAUGAUCUAGAAUGAUAGUCAAUGGGCUUUCAUAGCCUAUAAAACACUAUACAACUUUCAGCAACGGAUCUCUUGGCUCUC